CGAGACCAGCCUGGCCAACAUAGUGAAACCCUGUGUCUGCUAAAAAUACAAAAAUUAGCUGGGCAUGGUGGCGCCCGCCCGGAAGGAGGGCCGUAAUCCCAGCUACUCGGGAGGUUGAGGCAGGAGACUCACUUGAACCCGGGAGGCGGAGUUUGCAGUGAGCCGAGAUCGUGCCACUGCACUCCAACCUGGGCGACAGAGUGAGACUCCGUCUCAAAAAAAAAAAAGAAAGAAAAAGAAAACGCUUGAGUUGAGAAAGUGAGAAAGAAGAGACCCUGAAUUUCAAGCUUUCCGACUUAAUGUCACCUUUAACGACGCAGAUUAUCGUAGAGAUUCUCAGGUGGAAAGGUUUUUGCCUCUUGCAUUUGGAAGCUAGCCAGAAAUUCUUUGCCAGAUCAUGCGUCCUGAGUUUUGGUUUGGAAAAUGUGGUCACUAGCGAGCUAGGAGGCUGGUUUGGGCCACGACCAGAUGGCAAAGUGCGGCAUUGGAGGCUGGCUUGGGAGGGAGAUGUCUCCCCCUGGGAAUUGCGGGUUGGGGAGGGUCUGUUCUUUCUGUCCACCCCUGGGAAGUCUUGCCUGCCCAGAACUGGCGCCUAUAUAGGAAGAAAUGAAGAUGCUCCCGUGGGUGCUUCUCCCCCACCUCGCCACCACAUCCAUGCUCAUCCAGCCCUGCGGGGAGAAGCAGUGAUCUGUCGUCAUUAGACCUUCCCCACAAGGUAGACUUGGGGCAUUGCUUCUGACCAGAAGGCUUCCAUUAGCGCUUAGCAGUAAAAAGAAAGGUCUUAUGACUCAGCCGCAUCAAGCCACAGCACAGAGUCCAGGAUGUUCACCACCAGGUGGCCCAGGAGGGGGUAUUCUAGGGCAAGGCCCUUAGGUGAGGAGCACAGACUGGGCUCACUUGCAUUCUGUCUGCCUCCAGCAAGCAGUAUUUUCUACUUCCUGGAAACAUAGACUGAUUUGAAAGAAAGAGCUACCACCUCUGCAAAACUUUUGCUGCGUCUGUGAGUUAUUGAUUCUUCCGAUAAAGUUGCAAAACACCUUGUGCAAUACUCUACCAUAGUACUUAACAUGGAAUUGUAAUUGCCUGUUUUCAGAUUCUCCCCUGCUUAAAUGGAUCUAUUUGGGGCAGUCUAGCAGAUUGUUUGCUUGUUUGUUUUCAUCUAGUAGAUUGUCUGACCAAGUGAAUGACCCUUCCCUCCACCUAGCUCUCCUUCUGGCCCUGAAAUAAAAUAAUGUAAUAACAACAUUAACAACAUAAGGAUAAGAAUAGUGGCUCCAAUAGUAGUUACCUUUACCGCCCCC
rnacentral:lncRNA from 1 species